rnacentral:misc_RNA from 1 species
UCCCCGUUCACCGGGGCAGUCCCCUCAGAGUGCCCGGCAUGACCCGGUAGCAACAAAGGGCGAGGGUUGCGCUCGUUGCGGGACUUAACCCAACAUCUCACGACACGAGCUGACGACAGCCAUGCAGCACCUAUAUAGCGGCUCUUUCGAGAGACCCUCUUUCAAGGGCUGUCCCCUACAUUUCGAGCCUGGGUAAGGUUCUGCGCGUUGCAUCGAAUUAAACCACAUGUUCCACUGCUUGUGCGGGCCCCCGUCAAUUCUUUUGAGUUUCACCCUUGCGAGCGUACUCCUCAGGCGGUAUACUUAUCGCGUUAGCUACGACACAGUCGGGGUUGAGUCCAACUACAUCAAGUAUACAUCGUUUACGGCAAGGACUAC